CGCGGGGUGGAGCAGUGGUAGCUCGUUGGGCUCAUAACCCAAAGGUCGUCGGUUCGAGUCCGGCUCCCGCAA
rfam:Barnesiella viscericola DSM 18177, complete genome.